CCUACGGGAGGCUGCAGUGGGGAAUAUUGGACAAUGGGCGAAAGCCUGAUCCAGCCAUGCCGCGUGUGUGAAGAAGGCCUUCGGGUUGUAAAGCACUUUCAGUGGGGAAGAAAGCCUUGGGGCUAAUACCCUCGAGGAAGGACAUCACCCACAGAAGAAGCACCGGCUAACUCCGUGCCAGCAGCCGCGGUAAUACGGAGGGUGUGAGCGUUAAUCGGAAUUACUGGGCGUAAAGCGCGCGUAGGCGGUCUGAUAAGCCGGUUGUGAAAGCCCCGGGCUCAACCUGGGAACGGCAUCCGGAACUGUCAGGCUAGAGUGCAGGAGAGGAAGGUAGAAUUCCCGGUGUAGCGGUGAAAUGCGUAGAGAUCGGGAGGAAUACCAGUGGCGAAGGCGGCCUUCUGGACUGACACUGACGCUGAGGUGCGAAAGCGUGGGUAGCAAACAGGAUUAGAUACCCGAGUAGUC
rnacentral:rRNA from 1 species